UCACUCAAAUUAUUUUUUAUUUUAUUUUUCUAUAGAGUUUAUCUUUCCUCCAGAUUUCACAAACCCUCCUCCGCUGAAUCGCAAAUCCUCCGCCGAAUCGCAUAUAUGGAACCACAAACCCCUCCGUCGAAUCCCUAAUCGAAGAACCUCAAACCCCUUCGUUGUUCUCCUUCGUUCAAUCCAUCAAUAUCUAUGCCGUUCUUCUUCAAUUCCUCCGCCGUUCUCCUUUAAUCCUCCGCCUUUCUUCGUCGUUCUCCGCGGUUCCAAGAAUCCUUUUUCACUCUUGAGGCUUGUAUUCAUGAGUUUUACUAUGGGUUGGAGCAUUUCAAGUACUGGAGGUAAUCUAGGAUUUUCCCGACGGGUUUUACUCGCUCAAGCCGCACAAACGGGUACCUGAAGCUUGAAGUUUCGUUUUCCUUUUUAGUUCCAGAAGUUCCCUUGACACAUGAGGUUGGAAGUUUGGAUUGAAAAGAAUUAUAAGAUGAGAUUCAAUUGGAGCACUAGACUAGAUUGGAGAACAAGCUUUAGAUGUAGACUAUGUUGUGGUUGUAAUAAUCAAGUGUUGAGAGAGCUACAAUUACAGAGGUGAGUUCCAUAGAUAGAAAUCCUUACCAAUAUAGUCUCCCCACUAUUCUCAUGGAGAAUUGGGUUUACGGGUAGUUAGAACUAGAAACUAUUUCAUGAGAAAUUGCACUUUGAUGAGAUUGCCCCUUUAGAUUAGUUCUCUCAAAUUGUAUAGAUUUAAUGCAUGUUGUUUAUGAAUCUUGGUGACUUCCCUUGCCCUUGUUGUGCUACUAACUGUGGGCCUAAAUUGUCACUAAAAUGCAUCUAGAGUAUGGCUAAGACUGUGUGAGGAUAAUGGUACAAACUGAAUUUUUUGCAGGAAACUGGCCACCUGGGCAUUCUGCCCUCUGCGUCUGGGGCGCGGACCACUGCGCUGGAAGCGCAAAUAACAGUGUUUCCCAGACUGUUCCUGCGCCUGGAGCUACAUCCAGCAGCCCCGUUUGCACUGUUUUGCAUUUCCGGACGCUUUUGGGACACCGUAAUGUCCCUAAUGGAAUAAGAUCAUAUAGGAAUGACAAAUAUAGUAGUUAGCUUAAUAAAUUGCAUAGGUUGGGUAGGGAAAACAAACAGAAUACUAUGGACUAGAUGCAUUAUAAGUUAAUUCAGGACAGGGUAAGAAUAUUGACAGUUGAUCUUGAAAUGUAGUGGACUUUGGGCCACAAGUGUUAGAUUUCUAAUGCUAAAUGUCUAUGAUGAAUAAUAUGUUAAGUUGUGGUCUAUAAGGCACCAGAAAGGCUUCCUUAUGUAGGAGUUGGAGCUGGAUUGAAAUUCUAUAUAGAAUUUCACACAACGAUAAGAUGAGGUAUGACCGUACGCUUUAGCCCUGAUAUGAUAGGGAAUUUAGCCGGGUAUGUAAGGGAAUGGUUCGAGACUACUCACCUCGAAUUAUUCCGUAAAAUCAACUCAAACAAAUAAUUUUGUGUCACACUUUAUUUGCAUUAUACCGAAAAUAAUCGUGAAAUGAAUAUGUAUAUGUUUAUUAUUUUUCUUAUUCCUGUAAUUCCUAUAUAUGUUUUUGAAUACAGUGAAGCUAAUAACAAGUAUUUUUGCCUUUCUGAACCAGCAACAAGGCAAAGUUUAACAAUUUUGCAAUUUAAACAGUCUUCUUUUGGCUUAUGAGUUUUGGAAAUUUUUCCUAACAAUUUUAUUAAUAUUGCAGUGGGAAUGUCAAGUUAACUUGGUCAUAUGUAGAUGAUAGAUAUUGAAGCUUGUCAUCAUAUAUUGGCUUCAAGAAGUUGGUCCUUGAGGUGCUUAUAUAUGUUCUCUCAUGGUAUGAAAGCUGCUGAUGUGUUCUUAUGGAAGUGUAUGAACUGUGGUUUGGGUUUUUUGAGCUGCUUGAAUAUCACUUUGUUACUCAUGCGUGUCAUUUCAAUUCUGGUUAUUGUCCUAUUGGUUUUGUGGUCCAAUGCUCAUACCUUUCUUCAUAGGGACCUUUGAAAGGUUAAAGAUGUGAAAACUUGUAGCCAAAGUUAGGGUAAAAAUUGAAUUGUGGAAAAUGGUGGUGAUUGAAGAAAGUGGAAUGGAUGUGAAGUAAAUCAGUGGUAUGAAUGUGAAGUAAAGUUUCCAACAUGCUACUAGAUGGCAGAUCAGGUAACCGAAUAAGAAGAGUCAAGCGAUGAUAGGCGUUUCUGAGUCUAGUUAACACUAAUUAAGGAUUAUGAAGCAACAUCACAUACUAGGGAUAUUUAGAUAUUUUUUGAACUUAUUGACGUAAUGUUAUAUUUAACCACUCUACUAACAUUUAUGUUAUAGUUUUUGAAUGUUUGAACUACAUUAGUUUCUUUCAUUUGGAACUUCAUGUACUUGAAUUAAAUUUUUGAUUUAUAUGAAUCUUGUCACUAUUGAAUGAAUUAUA